GGAAUAUUGGACAAUGGGCGAAAGCCUGAUCCAGCAACGCCGCGUGAGGGAUGACGGCCUUCGGGUUGUAGACCUCUUUCAGCAGGGACGAAGCGCAAGUGACGGUACCUGCAGAAGAAGCACCGGCCAACUACGUGCCAGCAGCCGCGGUAAUACGUAGGGUGCGAGCGUUGUCCGGAAGUAUUGGGCGUAAAGGGCUCGUAGGCGGUCUGUCACGUCGGGAGUGAAAACACGGGGCUUAACUCCGUGCCUGCUUCCGAUACGGGCUGACUAGAGGUAUGCAGGGGAGAACGGAAUUCCUGGUGUAGCGGUGAAAUGCGCAGACAUCAGGAGGAACACCGGUGGCGAAGGCGGUUCUCUGGGCAUUACCUGACGCUGAGGAGCGAAAGUGUGGGGAGCGAAC
rnacentral:rRNA from 1 species